rnacentral:rRNA from 1 species
AAUAUUGCACAAUGGAGGGAACGCUGAUGCAGCAACGCCGCGUGAGUGAAGAAGGUUUUCGGAUCGUAAAACUCUGUCAUUUGGGAAGAAUAAAUGACGUUACCCAAUGAGGAAGCCCCGGCGAACGACGUGCCAGCAGGCGCGGUAAUACGUAGGGGGCCAGCGUUGUCCGGAAUUACUGGGCGUAAAGCGCGCGAAAGUGGUUCAGUAAGAUGGGUGUGAAAUCCCCGGGCUUAACCUGGGAACUGCUUUCAUAACUGCUGAGCUAGAGUACGGUAGAGGAAAGUGGAAUUCCUAGUGUAGCGGUGAAAUGCGUAGAGAUUAGGAGGAACACCAGUGGCGAAGGCGACUUUCUGGACUGUAACUGACGCUGAGGUACGAAAGCGUGGGUAGCGAACA